AAACAAAAAACUGUUCAGAUAGAUUCUCACCCAUCUCCUGGAAGUCAACAAAGGGAUUCCAGGGGUGGAAGAGAUGGGCAAGUUGGCAUUCUAUAAGGUGGUGGAAAGGAUGGGCAAGCCGGCACUCUAUAAGGUCAGGUGUGAAUUUAGCCUUCUGUUUAGAAUGCAGUCAUGUCUCCUGUUGCUUUUGAGAGUCAGUAUGCACUAUCAGUUAACCUGCCAGCCCUUUUGGCCCUUGGAAUGAUUUAGGACUUAGUAAUUUAAUCUUCAUGUACAACCCCUUUUGUAGACAAAUACUUGAUGUCUCUAUCAUAAAAAUUCCUUAUUAAGGUUCCCCUAUUAUCAUAUCCUUAGUGCAACAGCAAGAUAUCUGGAAAACUAUUGUGGAAUUUAACCUCUAAGCUGUGAUAGCUUUCAUCAGUUUUACUGCCUUCAAUUACUCCAAGGACUUUUUUUCCCCCCCGAGACAGAUUUCUCUGUGUAGUUUUGGUGCCUGUCCUGGAUCUCGCUCUGUAGACCAGGCUGGCCUCAAACUCACAGAGAUCCGCCUGGCUCUGCCUCCCUAGUGCUGGGAUUAAAGACGUGCGCCACGACCGCCUGGCUCCAAGGAACUAUUAUAUGAGCUAAAACUUCGUCUCUGGGCCCGACCUACAGGAUUUCCAGAAGCACAACUGUAAAGAGGUUUCCAAAAACAGAGACAUAGCGGUGUAACGAACAAGACUUCCGGAAACUGUGAGUGUGUAUAGUGCACGCUGCCGUGUUUACAUCAUGAAGCUCUGGUGUCCUGAACUCUAACCCUCCUUAUGUUUGAGCCUUUGAAAGUGAAGAACCAAGAGAAGAGCACUUGCCUCAUGACAGGGACUGCAUGUGAGGAUCUAAACGCAUUUAUGCCGAGAAAUGCCUGUGUAACUGACAUAUCCUUUUGUUACUGUUAAGAUCCCUGUGAGCUAAGUCAAUGUAGGGGGGUCUGGACCUAAUCCCCAGCACCCCAAAUAAAAAAUAAUAAAUA